GCCGCCCUCGCUGCGAGAAACGAACAUAUCCGUCCGUGCUCCCGAAACUUUAGAAAUUCCGACAUUAAGCGAUUUAUGGAGGGGACGACUGCGUGCUGCAGCUGUGCUUUCCACCUCCUGCGUGCCUACAAAACUGGAAUGCUGGAGGACUUCAGCUCAAGGUUUUGUUUUGUAGUCAUACUAAAUAAAAAGAAAAAAAAAGAACUUCCGAAGUGAGUAAAUUAUUCCGCUUUAAUCCGUUUGUGUAAUAUGAUCGACGCAUAUGAUAUGUCAAUUUGUUUGAAAUUGUGAGUGAAUGAAAGCUAUCCUGAUCUUUCAUUCAGAAUGUCAUGUUGGACCAAUACCAGAGCGUGCUUAAAGAAAUCAAUGCCCACCACCAGAUCUCCGCCUCAGAGCCAGUGGUGAUGGUCAAGAUAUUUCUAGCGGAUCUGGUCAUGUCAUGCUGAAAACUAAUCCACCCCGCACUUCGGCUACAACACUAUGAACCUAUCGCGCUGUGAUGUUUGCUUGAAAGGAACACAAUCUGGUAUGGUGUGUUGUUUUUCUUCUAGAAGGACAUCGGGUAUCCAUAAUAAGAGGCCCUCAUAGCAAGAAAGCCAAUAUAUAAGAAAAGGCAUCUUCUUGAUACAUUAAUAUUUCUCAAAGUAUCCUAAAGACAAAGGUACGAGUCACACUACAUGUGCCAUACUGCACUCUCAGAAAAAAGGGUGUAGCAAUUACACACCUUUUAGGAGGUAAUAGUUGUCGCAUAUGUUGUGCCUAAAAGGUUGCGAAGUUUUACCUGCUACCUACGAAUGAUAGAGCUACCGCUUCUGAUUCGGUGAGCGAGGGGGGCGUACGCCGAGCAUUAGGAAGCGGUAUCGCGCAUCAUAACGAUAAGCGGUGUAUUGAUAAUGAUAGAGGGCAUUGAGUAGCAGGGUUAAAACGUGGCACGGUUCUACGAUAUGUGCGUUGGGGACAACUCAUAGAGCAUAAACUUGCUUUGUGUUCCUUUCACGUACCCUGUUACGUGAUCAAAAUCAUCAAAUCCCUUCCUAAAGAAGCCUAUAAAUGUAGGCUUCUUUUGUCGUAGCGGAUAUUGAUAUCGUUUUUGUAUAUCAAGACUAUUCUGAAGCGUCUUGAAUCGCCCAUUGUGACAGCAACCAUAUAGACAGGUCAAGAACUAAAAAGUAUAUAUAUUGAGUAGCAAAUACAUUGAAGGUAACUUGUUACAUUUCUGAAGUAGCUUAGGAACUUCACGUCAAUUUUCAUUGCGUUCGUGUAACUGGGUUUGAAAUUUAGUUACGGGCCGGUUUCACGUCAGUUCAGGCAGGGGGUCCCAGCGACCCGCUAGGUUUUCAGUAUUUUUUAUAUUUAUAAGCUCAUUGUGCAUUAUGAUCAACAGCGGUAAAAUGAAUCAUUUUUGCCGAGUGGCUUUCGUGCAAAAAAAAAAUCGGGAAAAACCGGCUCUGAAUUCGGGUGUUUCAGUUUUGCCGUGUUUGUACGCUAUAUCUCCCGGGUGUUAAAAGAUAUUGCGUUGAUGCUUUAUUAUGCCUACAGGCCAGCUGUCAGAGAGCAAAUAUUAGCGCGCAGGUGCAACGCUGUGUGCAAAAAAAAAUGGCAAGCAUGCGCUCUCGCGCAUAUGGCUAUAGAUGUCCCUGAUUGCCAUACUUGGUAUCAGCUCACUCAGCUUUUAAUUCUCUUUCAUCUGAUACUUCCUGAUCUGAUAGUUCCUAGCGGCAUGUGCUGAAAUACGCAAAUGUUUAGGCGUAUUUCGAAAAAACAUGAAUUUUGCACGUGUAUCUCUCAAAAAGAUCCCACUUGAUUUCGUAAAUAUUUUGCCAGGAUAUGGCCCGAUGUUAGGCGUUUCAUCUAACGCAAAAAAUUAUUGUCCAAAGGCGUAUACUCUCUUAAUUUUUUUACACCCUUUAGGGUGUAAUAAGGGUGUAAUCCCAAAGUGCGAUACCUCACUCCCUUUAGGGUGUAAUAUCACACCCUUUUCCACCGGCUACAACCUGAAAAAAGGGUGUAAUUUGCUACUUCAAAAACACCCUUUAGGGUGUAAUCCAAAAGGGCUUUAACUCACUCCCUUUAGGGUGUAAUCCAAAAGUGCUAUAACUCACUCCCUUUAGGGUGUAAUUUAACACCCCUGGUAAUAUUACACCCUUCAAAAAGGUGUUGUUUAUCUGUCAAGUAAUACAUGUGCUACUUGAGAGAUAGAUGCUAUAGUUCUCACAAAUGCCAGCAGCCAGAAACUGUGAAUCUAUGCACAUGUACGCAGUCCAAUAAAUGAGGAGUUGAAUUACUCAUACAUAAUUCAGGGGAGUGCCUCUCUGCUAAUUACUGUGGACACAAGAAAUUUCCACGAGCAUCAAAUGCACAGCCACUGCAGCAUUUGGGAAAUGCACCUGAAAAGAAAAGUCCAGACGUAGGUUAAGUAUACAGAUUCUUUAUUUUAUAGUGCUCGAGGUCCAAUUGCUACCGCAGUUACAAUCAUUUGUAUUGCUAAUGAGGCCAAACCAGACAAACACCACAUAUCAAUACAAGAACAGUAAUUACCACCGAAGCUAUAUAUGGCAUGAAACUCUUGCUUGCCAGGAUACAAAGCAUCUGCUUUGUGCAUUGCAUAACAAAGCUCGGUCUCCCUUAGUUCUGGGGUCUUAAAAGAAACAUUCAACAAGAAUGAUGUAAAGUCCUGCUGGGCAACACUGCUUUAAAACUCUUGACGCCAGUAUAUCAAAGUGUGCCAAAGCUUAAUGUGCCCUCAAGGAGCAGCGAAAGAGCGAGCAAUGAGCAGCGGCUUUUUCGCUUCACAGGUUUUCUUGAAUGCUCUGAAAAAAAGUCAUAUUGAGCUCGACAUGUACUGCUGGCGACAUACUGUCUGUCAUUUGGGUUUCAUGGUUUCGCUGCUUUCUGCGGCAUGCUGCAGGUAGUGAGUAAUAAACAGGCACAGCAGAUUUUUCCCGACCUGCCUGCUGCUUACUACUUGCAACGACCCUUCACAGAGGCUGCAGAAUGCUGUGAAAGCCCGAAACCCAAACUUCAGACGUGUACGUCUCAAAUAGGACACAAUGUACACUCUAAACCCAUUGAGAGAUAGGUGCCGCCUGAUCAACUGGCACAUUUCUGCACGAGAUGACUUCAAGAGGAAGCCUGCGAAAGCUGUAAGUGCCUUGUGCCCCCUGAAACAACUGGUACGACAUCGCUGCUGACGCCAGGAGCCACAGUGUACCGGACGUAAUGAAGGAAUACUUGUACCAACUAAUACGCGAGACACAUUAUGCCUCUCGAGUUCUCUAACAGAAAAUGAUCUCCAGGCUUCGCAAAAAAACAAAAAAAAAGAAGAAAAAAAUAGGGGAACAACGCACCAAUGAGAUUGAACUUGAAACGCCAAAUUUUAUUGCAGUGCACAUACCUUUAAAUUUCAUCAAGUACAUCAUCGUUGGCCGAAUGGAAAGCAUACACGGUUCACUAAUCCCAACACACACAUAUGGAGCACACGCUGCAUGAACACAACCCCUCCGAUGCACCAGGCGCGCACUGCAAAGUUCAACCAAGAUCAUCCUUAGUGACGAACACGACAGUUCCUCAAACGAAAUGGCCGACGAAUAAUUGUCCAAGCAUGUGGCACCAGACGCCUCUUCGAUGUGAGAAGCAGUUGCAGUUCUGCACGCAUAUGCGUGACCGUUGAGACAGGACACUAUCUGUAAAGAAACCGAAGUGAACAUCACGCUGGUAUUGUUCAAACGUUAAUGCUAGAAUAUUACAGCUUUUUUGUAACUCACGUCCUUGCAGUCGAUACAGUCCCACGUUCACCUAUAACGAAAGAAUACAAUUAGCCUCGCUUGUAAUAUAAAUCGUCGCUUCACGGAUGUAGCCGAUCCACUCCUGCCACCAUUUGCAAUGUGUCCAUCGUCUGCACCAGAACGAUUGUUAAACACAAGUAAAACGCAGGCGUCGUACGUUGCAUCACAGCCAGGUUGACUUACCUUAAGCAAACAUUAAACUUGUAAUUAAAAAGCAAGAUUGUCGUCCUUUCACAGGCGAGGUUGCAGCGCACAUAACAGGCACGAACGCAGCGACGAAUGCACUGCGGUAGAAUACGCGGUGCCACGUCACUCCUCACGGGCGGAGCGCAGAACAACGUAGUACGCUCCAGCGCAGGCACACAUAUUCAGCCGGCACACGGAUUAUUCGACAAGCACACGAGUAUACGGCUCAGGGGACACACAUAUUAUUCAGCGGGGCACACAUAUUUGUCGAUAGGGAUCGUUGAGCUUGCUAUUUGAUAGCUGUUACGGCUGCUUCCAGACGGUUACGGCUGUGUACCGGCUGUACUUUCUGAGGGACCUUUUUUAACCGGCACAUGUUCGUCACAAGAUUUAGAGUGUAGACUCAAAAUUUCUACUAAGGUGUCCUAUUGUAUGCAUCUGUAGGUAACAUGAAGCAUAUCAUUGUGCUUUCAAAAGAAAUACAGUUUAUGUAAAAGCUCUAUGCCCGCUACACCCAUUUUACGCCUCUUUUACACCCGCCCAGGGAGCACAUGGUGGGCUAGUAAACGUCUAAAUGACGUCUAAAAAAAGAGAUAAGGAAUGUCUAUAGAAUGUCUAGGCAAUUAGACCAAAUGUCUAGUAUCCGUCCACUAGACCUCAAAUAACACGUCUAACGUUACGCCACCUAGCCAUCUAGCCCUAGACAUCCGAUGUCUAUGUACCUAGCUGUGAUUUAGACAUUCUUUUGACCUGGAUGUCUGGAACAGGGUCAGACACUUAACCAUGUAUUAGACAUGAAGUCUACAGCUAGACCAAUUUUAUCCCUCCAUUCAGGCGACAGGUCUAGGGUUAUACAUUUCCUGUACCUUACUUUAGCCACCUUUAGACCAUGACUAGUCCUGCUACCGUCUUGGCAUGCAUUCAUGCAGAAAUGGGAUAUAAUUGAUAGCAACACGGAUCUCAGCAUAAACAUUUAUUUGCAGUAAACCACACACGAAGUCUACGGUACAAAACUCUGUCUAAAACUGGAUUGACUUUGCCGCCAAGCAGGCGUCUUGUGUUUUGACUGAGGAGUGUUGAACUGGCAGCAGGGUGUUGAUGGCCACCUCAUUCCUUUCUUCCAAUGAGUGAUGGUUGGCGCUGCAGCACUGCCUCCAAUGACUCACUGUGGCUAGAAAAUAGAACAAAACAUGUCAGAAAGCAUCAUGUAGCCUGCUAGUUCUAACUAGUUUGUUUAGUGGCUAUGCACACUCCUUCACGGGAUGCUUGUCUGGCCACAUAAGAGUAAAAGCUGUAUCAACACUGAUCUGAGAGACACAAAGAAAAGAAGCUGCACGUACAAAAAUCACAGAACUGUUACAGCUACACAACACAAAUUGCAGAAACAGCUGAAAAUCUGUUUGCGCGUCACUACCUGAUGUGGACGCUAGAGCCCUGCACCAUCUGCGGAUGGAAGCGGAUAUCCGUAAGAUACUUGCGGAUUCGGACAAGAAUUUAUCACUUUCUGCAGUGUGCGGAUCGGAUGGCUCGAGGUCAGAUGCGGAUAUACCGCAUGCUGUAAUUUCUCUACUAGCAAUUUAUUUGUAUUGCGCACCGACAGCGAGCGCAUGCCCGGGUUCACCUUUGACCAUGCACGGCCAAGACAGGAGAGAAGGCAUUUUGGCGCGAGUCCUUCCAUGAGAGCAUGGAGGCAUCCGAAAUUAUACCAACAUUCUUCCGGCUAUGUUUACGCGUCCUUCGAAACUUGCGGAUCUAAACGGUUGCGUAUGCAACGGUGCGGAUCGGAUAAUGUGCACGCAGAUGCUAAAAAUCUUAUCUGCGCAGGGCUCUAGCGGACGCUGCCAGGAUCUCAGGGAAAUGAGGAUGUAACAGCUGUCGCUGUUAAAGUACAUCAAUGUGACAGGCGUUUUCUCGUGACACACAACCUUACCUGGUCGAGCAGGCGACUGCUAAGCACUCUAUGAUUGGCGCAGCACUUCCAUCACUGCAUUACGCUAAAACAACAUCUGUGCUGCUCUCAUAACUUUGGUGCAAAAAUUCUGUACAGGAUAAAAAUAAACACUGUGUAUAUUAUAAAAGACAAUACAAAGCAAAACCUGUAUCACCACGUCAAAUAUUAUAAGUACGUACAAGUAGUAUACAAGUUUAUUCACAUGACGUCAUCCGCAGGAGACCGCCACUGUCGCUAGCAGGCAGAUUUGCCGCCAUCGGCCUUGGUAGAUCUCGGCCCUAUUGUAGAUUUCAGUCAAGCUGUUACCCAUAUUAUACUCACCGCAUAUCUGGUGUUUAAAACUUGUUGCUCUGUGAUUUGUAGAAUAUCCAAGCAAUUUCCAUAUUUUUUGGUGUUAAUAGUCACCUAAAAAGCAUAAUGCAGCGAACAAAUGCAAGGACUAAACAUUGAGGGACCUAUAGUAUGGCGCUAAGGUGACUUCAGUGAAUAAACCUUUUAGGAACUCAAAUCUUGCACUACUACCAGAUAGCUGUUUGGGUGAAGUAAGACGGAAUGACAUAGUCACGCUGUUCUCCAUACAAUACCAAGGAUGUCUCAAAACGACAAAGCACAAAAAUACUAGUUUUGUACCGUUUGAUGAAUAUUUUGUCUGCUACUCACACAUGUUGUGCGGUUCUUUAGGAAGCUUCUGGCAGUCGUUUCUUCUACAUCGCACUUCCCUGCUGACUUUCACAGCAUCUGAAAAAAAGUUCGAAACCAUGUGAAUGGAAAGCAGUUAGAGUCUUCCACCAACUGUAUUUGCAAAAAAUUUAAAGAGACUCCCUCCAGAGUAAGAUUCGGGGGCACAUCGAACAUCAGGAACAUUGGAGGACAACACAGUCACACGUCAGAGACAACUGCUUCCCCUCACCUCACAGGGAACUGUUAAGCUUAUGUGCAAAUAGCUGUUUCGUAGGGUAGGUUACCACUAUUUUCAUAUCCACCGAUGCAAGAUAGUCCAAGCACCUAUAAAGAGAAAAAUUCAGUUGCUAUGAAACCAUGAUAUGCAAACAAAAGUACUUGCGCAAAAUUUUCAGUGUGUAGUUUCACUACCAGCGAAAAAUGCAACAACCGAAGUCGGGUUGACAUGACAAUGAACUAACCAGCAUUUAUGUUCCGGCAUGUCCGCCCUGCAAACCGUAACUGUCGACUUUCGUUUACUCAAGACUUCAACAGUCAUCGAAAACUCGUGAAUCUCGAUGAUUAAUUAGUGAUACCGUAUUUGUUUUAGCACCAAGACGAACCAAGGCACUUAAUGAAACGUUGUACUGCCGAACAUACAACGUUAAUCACGACUUCGAAUGCAAGUGCAGUCAGGUCAACCCACACUUCCAAUAUGCUUCAAUCGGUGAUACGAAGCCGAAAUAGAGGAAACGAUAUUCCGAUAUUAUGCCACGCAUAUCUACUACAUGCGAUUUGGUGUACAGAAACAGGCACAUACUUUAAUGAAGAGUGAACUCACCCCUUAAACUUGAAAGCCAGAGAACAAAGAAACGUUGUCCACCACAGUACUCUGCGAGCUCUGGUGCGCUCAACAGCUUUUAUCACUGGACAGCACGGCGUACGUCCUCGCUAUGCUCAAAAAUUGCAAGACAAAACGCGCGGGAGAUUAGAACUUCGAAAGAUUUUCGUAUAACAACCAGUGGAAUGCAGCCGCGAAGACCCCAACUGCUACCCGUUGCGCGUCCGGAAAGUUUGAAGUUUCAACCGUUGAAACUGAACUGGUUCGAACUGGUUGGAUGGAUGGAUGAUGGAUGGUGAUUGGGUAGACGGGCAGACGUCAUUGCCAUUGCUUUAGCUCGUGCUUUUUGAGUACUUAUUUUUUGUAAUACUUUAAUUUCCGUGGCCGUUCAUUAUAAUUGGCUGGUGGAGGUUAAAAGUUAAAUAACACAUAUGCCAAUCCAGCGGAAGUGACACCAACAUCAUCAUCAUCAUGCCAUCGCCAUCGUUGUUGCAGCGACGAGUGUCGUAUUUUGUGAUGUGUGUGUUGAAAAUCGCUGUUCUUUUUGCAAACAUUUUAUCAGUGCCUUUGCUACUGAGCUACAGGUGUGCCUAAUAUGUAGCGCAUUGCCUGUUCAGCGGUUUCAAAGAGAUACCAUGGGCAGUUUCAAGAUUUUUUGAAGUGUCCUGAAAUCCCUGAGUCACGUCAGAUUCCAUUUUACUGCUGCUGUGUAGCUUGUGGGAAAAUGUUAUGUGCAGUAAACAAACAUCUGCUAUCUGCUGCCCACAGUACGUGCAAAGUGCUUCUGUGUUUGUGGAGCUAUGGUUUAUAGUGCUUCGCUGCACGAUUCGUCGGAGUCGUCGACUUUUUUAUUGACGUUUCAGUGAUUCAAUAAUUUAGUUGCUGAUUUCUUUAAGUUGGUGUAACGUAGUAUUGUGCAGGGGACUCACUAACGUACAAAAUUUACAUUUACCAGCAACGGUAACGCCAUCAGGAACGCUAGUUCAAGAGACAUUGCCCCGAACAAAUGCGGGCUUUCGUUAAGAAAAAAAGAUAUACAUUCAGAAAAAUAAAAUAUUACUUCACAGCACUUA